rnacentral:rRNA from 1 species
GACGAACGCUGGCGGCGUGCUUAACACAUGCCAGUCGAACGGAAAGACCCUGCUUUUGUGGGGUGCUCGAGUGGCGAACGGGUGAGUAACACGUGAGUAACCUGUCCUUGACUUUGGGAUAACUUCAGGAAACUGGGGCUAAUACCGGAUAGGAGCUCCUGCUGCAUGGUGGGGGUUGGAAAGUUUCGGCGGUUGGGGAUGGACUCGCGGCUUAUCAGCUUGUUGGUGGGGUAGUGGCUUACCAAGGCUUUGACGGGUAGCCGGCCUGAGAGGGUGACCGGCCACAUUGGGACUGAGAUACGGCCCAGACUCCUACGGGAGGCAGCAGUGGGGAAUAUUGCACAAUGGGCGGAAGCCUGAUGCAGCAACGCCGCGUGCGGGAUGACGGCCUUCGGGUUGUAAACCGCUUUCGCCUGUGACGAAGCGUGAGUGACGGUAAUGGGUAAAGAAGCACCGGCUAACUACGUG